GAGGGUAUAGCUCAGUGGUUUAGCAUGUGCCUGUGAUACACAAGGUCCUGGGUUCAAUCCCCAGUACCUCCA
rfam:Camelus ferus unplaced genomic scaffold scaffold619, whole genome shotgun sequence.